AGGAAUUUAGGUUAAACAAGACCAAGAGCCUUCAAAGCCCUAAG
rnacentral:tRNA from 1 species